rnacentral:piRNA from 7 species
UGCAUAAUUUGUGGUAGUGGGGGACUG